GAUGAACGCUAGCUACAGGCUUAACACAUGCAAGUCGAGGGACCGGCGCACAGGUGAGUAACACGUAUCCAACCUGCCAUUUACCCGGGGAUAACCUUUCGCAAGAAAGAUUAAUACCCGAUGUACAGGAUGGGGUUGCCUUACAGUAGGUUGUGGGUGCGGUAACGGCGCACCAAGCCUUCGGUGGAUAGGGGUUCUGAGAGGAAGUCCCCCCACAUCGGAACUGAGACACGGUCCAAACUCCUACGGGCGGCAGCAGUGAGGAAGAUUGGUCAAUGGGCGUUAGCCUGAACCAGCCAAGUAGCGGGAAGGAUGAAGUGUUAUGGGUCGUAAACUUCUUUUAUAUAAGAAUAUGUAUUAUAUGAAUAAGGAUCGGCUAACUCCGUGCCAGCAGCCGCGGUAAUUC
rnacentral:rRNA from 1 species